GCCGCGAAGAGGGGGAGCUAUGGGGGCCUGGCAAAAGUAAGCCCAUAUGCGCAGUUUAAACAUGGCUGCCAGCAACCGCAAUAGCGGCAAAUGAGUAAUUCUGUUGAACUGUUCCUUUUCGAACGGCACAUACCUAGCCGAUCGUUUUAUGGCCGUGUUGCAAAAAAGGGCAGGUUUUACUGAGCUUUGGUGCUGCUGCACGACCACGCACUUUGGGGGACGAGACACCACUUGACUUGGCACUCAGAGGUGGACACAAGGAAUGUGCUCAUUUUCUAAGUGUGUUUCAAGAAGCUCCGUCCUACACUUCCAAAGAAGACUUGUUGCAUACAGACCUGAAUCGUGAGGUAUGUGAUUAUCCUGACAAACCAGACCGUGAGUUGCUGUGUACAAGAAGCUGGGAACAUUUUGUCACGGAACAUAGGCCGAUGAUAGACUGUUAAACUAAAUUGUCAUUUAGCUCAACUAUGAAUCGGAUAACGUUACUACAUUUCUGAUACAUGUCAAAUGUAUUUUACGGCUACGUCACAAAUGUGAAAAAAAAAAAACACAAUUUUUCUCCUCCCUCUUUGAACAGGUUUUUAUUAAACUUCUAUAGCGAUUUCGAAAAAAAAAACUGUUCGAGCACCAGGUUUUCUAGACUGGCAUUGUAAGCACUGCGUGCAGCUUUUACGGGCGCUGGUACAUUCAGUUGAGAGCCUCUGAAAUACCGGCAUCUCCGGUCCUCAGACUCGGUGUUGGCAACAUUAGUUUAAUACCAUCUGCGUGUGUAUUGACCAUAUUACCAUCCGUACUGUCCGAUCACGCUUCUAAAGUAAGCAACUAAAUGCCAUAAUCAGUCAGUACGGACGCCAGUGACUUGUGAAAACAAUAAUUAUAGCAUAAAUAUUUAACAAAAUAAAAAUAACAAAGUACUCAUAUAGCGAUAGGGGACAAGCAAAAAGACAUGAAUGUCUCGAAUCGAACUGCGGACCUUUUGUAUCAAGGUCCAACACUUUACCCCUCGACAAAUAGUGCAGGGGAACGCGCCGCCUUAAAGGAGCUCUGAAAGCCAUCUCAAAAAUUUUCCGUUCCGAACGCGUUGUGGAAGCAGGUAACUUAACUUGAUGAUUAACACGAAAAUUUUCUCUGUACGCGAUGUUUUUCGUAGAAAAAAAGACACUUGAACAUCGCCGCGCGCGUUCCCACUCGACUCGCUCCUCCGGGUCAAACGAGGAGGAGAAUGAAAAAAACGUCAUUGGUGACGUAAUAAAAGUUGAAAGUGGCGACCGCGCUUCUAUCCAGGUCAGUGCUGACUGGUUUUCUUUUCUUUCUUUCCGUUUUCUUUCCCCCUGCUUUCUCCCCGUCAAGGGAUGAAUAAGGGAGAACCUCGAUAUUCCUGGUCGUGAAACCCCCGUUCUCGAAAUUCAUGUUCUGGAAACAAGGAAAGGGGGAAAUGCUGCUUCGUAAGAUGAUAUGCCGCGAUUAAGAACAUAACAUCCCUAUUUAACCACUCAAAUUCAGUGGUUUUCUAUAUGUGUCCAAGCAGUCUUAGCGAACGAAACACACAUUUAGCAGCCAUUUGGCUUAGCAGGGUGUCAUGUUGGUUGGUUAGUUGUAUGCUUGCAAUAUUAUGGCUGGGUUAGUUUGCCGUUGGCAGUUUUCUGCGUGCAACAUUUUAUAGUCAGCUAAAAUUUACGCUAGUCACGUGUUGUUUCAGUGCACGCUGAUAUGUCGUCGGACGCAGACUUAACCGGCGUUGUCGGUCACUAUAUAGUGGAUAAAACUGAUGCACUAUAUGGUGACAAAACAAAUAGCGCCGAGCACGGAUCAACUCAAACUGGCGUGUCUGCGUCGUCCACAUUUGUAGUCUGCAUCGGCCAAUUCUCGAUUAGCUCGAUGAUUGGGUUUGGAUCGACGCUGUUUGUGAGCCAGGAUUUGCCCCCUACAGACAGCUCUCUACUGUGUUCCCUACACUUUCUGCAAGAUGCCUACACCUGCUCUCAGGACGUAGCACAGUGUGACCUUCCUGCACAAAGGAGAAGGCUGAAGCCCGAUGCGGUUCCGAUGGAGCUGUCUCCUUUGUUGCAACAUGACAAACAUAUCUUCAAGCGGGCAUGGGAGGAGGUACGUAUAUUCUUUGUCUGUCGUUUGCCGUGUUCAAGUGUCCGUUCCCACCCUUGUGUGUUAUCUCACGUUGGUAACAGGUGCUGACGCUGGCCUUCGGAGAGCCAAGUCAGCCCACCCCUAUGGUCGAAUCAAAUGUAUUCUUUGUAGAGAACCAAGUAUGCCCCCAGGCGUUCGAAUAUACGUGAUUUAAAAUAUGUCUACGUAAAAAAGUGUGCCCGGCUGAAAAGAGGUGCAGAGCAACAUUUGGCAGUAAUUGCAGUAACUCAACGAAUGCUUCACAUUCUACAGCAGUCCUUCAUGGCAUACAAUUCGGAAUGCGUCGGAAGAUAAGGGCCCCACAAACUCUGCCAAAGAGGCAUCUCCGUCCCCCUUCACAGAGAUUUACUGGCGAAGCUCAUCAAUGCAUCUGCUCUUACGGCUAAUACAAGUGAUGAAAUCUGUGCAUGCAAUUGAAACUUACACUGAGGUUAUGCAUUGCUAAUAAAACAUCAUUUUUAGCUCAAUAUUUGUGGUUUCGACAGAUUUUGGGAAAAUUGCUGCAUUGGCUGUCCCCGCCUUAUUCUUGGAACAAAGUCACGCUAAAGGUGCUGUGAGAGCAAGAAGUGUACCUGCCUUCUUUUGUCUUGCUGAUUUUUUCCCCCCUGAGGUCCCCGCUGGCCUUUAGCAGCCUUAGAUGACCACAUCCUGAGUUAGAACUUUGUAAUAUUUCAACAACAUUUCAACACUGCAAUGGGCCAGAUGUUUUUUGUUGGUGUGUUUCAAUAUUGUCACUUGGCAUGCAGAAUCCACCUGCCACCUGAUCGAAGCCCCCCGCCACGGCACUGAACAGAUUCCGAUGCCCCAGUCCACAUGUUUAUAACACAGACUGAUGACGAGUCAGUUUCCGCAACCUUCAACCCAUUGUAUACACGGCCGUCAACCCCCUUGCCAACUUGUCAACUUGAGUCAUCUGCAUGUGACAUAUUGUUGCCUUUUGUUGAUGACCCAGGUGACAAGACUUAUGAGCCUACCCUUGAUGACCACGAGUAAGUGCAAAAAAACACAUGUCCUAUAAUUGAAAUGUUUACCUCAGUACCAUACAUACAUCAUUCAGUAAGUGCCAGAGGCUGAAAACUUCCUGACUGGAAAACUAGCUGCAAAAAUGAUGGUGUUGCAUGUUGCAAGCUAAAUUAAUAAUUGCCCCCUGCUAAUAAUAUGUAGUACUUUGUAUAUGUGGUUCGUGCAUUGCAGCCUUCUCAUUCUUCUUUCUUUUUUUGUCAGCUUGAACCUCCGUCUUUCACAGGCAGAGAAGCAAAGGAAGUUUCUAGUUUUUGAGGAGAAUUUGCUCCACCUUUUCACGGUCUGCCUUGGUGAAACACAGCUUGUUGUGGACGUAAUUGGCACCAGAGUCAAGGUGACAACAAUGUGCAAGUCCGGCCACAUUAAAGCACGGGACGGCCAGCCCAGAAUUGGGGAAACGUCCACUAGGCGGCAUUCUUCUAGCUCCUGGGAUCCUGUGCACUGGAAGCAGCCCCACCGAAGUCAUCCAGCUCAUACAAGCUGCCUGAGUUUGCUGCUUCAGCCCACGGGCAUUUCAUAGAACGCAAACAAAAUUCCUCAUCCUGGCUAUUGACGUGGACUACACUUGCUGCUCUGCAUUUUAAUGAGAACGCUGGAAGAGUACAUGCAAAGACAAAGAGCAUUGUCCUGACGUGGAAACUGAAGUACCCGAAGGGGAAAAACUGUGAUGGUGCCGUGGCCCCAUUUAAAGGAGCUGCAACAUUUGGCAUGGUAUGUGGCUGCACGGAGGAUUCCGAAAAAGAAAAACAACAACAUGGCUAAUAGGAUGUUGUUGCCCAGGGAGUCCUGGCCGAAGAGGUUUACUCAUUCCAGAAGCAAGAAUUGUACCAUUGUAAGGCGAAUGGAAAUAAACUGACAUCGACUGA